rnacentral:lncRNA from 1 species
UUUGAUAAGUGCAAUUAUCUUCAAAUUUUGUAUGCUUAUUGCUAACUUAAUUUUUUAAAGGUGUAUAAAUUUUUAAGUAAGUUCAAUAAUUUAAUUGAUAGGUAUUGAGGUUCUAAACUACACUAUGAUUAAAUUGAAUAGAAUUAAGAUUUGGUUUAAGGUCUAAGGUUUGAUUUAGGGUUUGAUUUAGGAUCUAGGAUUUGAUCUAAGAUUUGUUUUAGGAUCUAAGGUUUAUUUAAGAUUUGAUUUAGGAUUUGAUUUAGGAUUUGAUUUAGGAUUUGAUUUAGGAUUUGAUUUAGGAUCUAAGAUUUAAUCUAGGAUUUGAUUUAGGAUUUAGGAUUUGUCUAGGAUUUGAUUUAGGGUUUAUCUAGGAUUUGAUUUAGAGUUUGAUUAAGGGUUUAGGAUUUAUCUAGGAUUUGAUUUAGGAUUUGAUUUAGGAUCUAGGAUUUAAUCUAGGAUUUAAUUUAGAAUCUAGGAUUUGAUUUAAGAUUUGAUUUAGGAUUUAUGAUUUAUUUAAGAUUUGAUUUAAGAUUUGAUUUAGGAUCUAAAGUUUGAUCUCAGGUUUGGUUUAGGAUUUAAGAUUUGUUUAGGGUUUGAUUUAAGAUUUGAUUUAGGAUUUAGAAUUUAUCUAAGAUUUGAUUUAACCUUUGGUUUAAGAUCUACUGUUUGAUUUAAGAUUUGAUUUAGGGUCUAAGGUUUGAUUUAAGAUUUGAUUGAAAUUCAUUAGGUAUUCAAUUAGAAGUAAAUUUAAACUUAGUUGAGAUUUACUUAAGAUAUAUUUGUGAUUAUUUUAAUAUUUUUUAAGACUUCUUAAGAAUUAUUUUAAUAUUUAUUAUGGA